GUAGGUGAACCUGCGGAAGGAUCAUUAACAAUUAUCCAUUUUCCUUUGCAUAUGGAUGGUUUAAAUCCAUAUCCACCUUUGUGUGCACAUCAUCGACAUGUUUGCUUUGGCAGUUUGCAGGGAGAUCCUUUACCGUUUCUCCGUGGAGGGAAAGAGAAAGUGGGGAGCGGAGGGAGAGAGAGAAGAAACACUUUUCCUCUCUGCUUUUUUUCCUUCCUUCUCGCCUCUCUUCCCUCCGGCACUGCCAGAG
rnacentral:misc_RNA from 1 species